rnacentral:rRNA from 1 species
UUGGACCUGAUUCAAACAAGAUUAC